GGGAGGCCAAGGUGGGUGGAUCAUUUCAGCCCAGGAGUUUGAGAUCACCCUGCGCAAUGUGGCAAAACCCUGUCUCUACAAAAACUACAAAAGUUAGCUGGGCGUGGGGGUGCGUGCCUGUGGUCCCAGCCACUUAGGAGGCUGAGGUGGCAGGAUGGCUUGAACCUGGGAGGUGGAGGUUGCAGUGAGCCAAGAUCAUGCUGCUGCACUCCAGCCUGGGUGACAGAGUGAGACCCUGUCUAAAAAUAAAUAAAUAAAUAAAAAAUGGGGGCAGCAAACCAGAGACUAGAAACCAUUUCAUAUUUGACUAGAAAUAUGCAGCGAUGGUCGCUGAGGAAGGUCUGAUGAUGCUGGUACUUCUGCCUACACACACAAUACAGAGAACUAUAUUAAUCCACAUGUAAAAGUGAACCCUGUAAAUAUCUCUUGUCUGAAGUCCUAAGCCAAAAGGAAUUUUCUUGUAACCACUAAAGGAUUUUUCUUGUAAUCUUUUACAUUGACAUAAUUUUCUAGUAUUUAUUAAAUCCCCAUCUGCCAAUGGCAGAUCCACUUUUAAAGGAGAAAAGUACAAGAGGAAAAAUCUUUUCAGGAAAGUUACAUUAGGUAGUAAAAUUAAAGUAUUAAAAAUUAUAUAUAAAUUCUUCCAGCUCAUCACAUCCCAUAUAGAUGGCAAUCACAUAGUGUUCACAUUCUAUAAGUUGACCAUAGCUAAAGUAAACUGCAGGUGUCCUCUUUUUACAAAGAAAUGUUCUUCACAGAAGUGCAAUGUACAUAUUUGAUUUUCCUACACCAUUAGAAAUGAUUCUGCAAAGCAUUCUCAGAAGAAUUCUAUGCAUAUGGAUGAGACAGAAUGAGAAGAGUAUAAUAUGGGUAAAAAGUCAAUUAAAUAUAUUGAACACUGAAACCGUAUUAAUAGUUUGGGGUCAAAAUCGGAGCAGCUAUUGCGUGGAGUUUAUAAGGAACCGUCCUGGGUCCAAUCUCCCUCCAUAUUUUCUAUUAAUAGCUCUGAGGAUCCUAUGACAAAUGCACUAAUCAAUCCACAGAAAAUGCAGCUCUGGGAAACAUUGCUAAUGCUUUGGAUGACAAUAUUAAAAUUCAGGACGAUCUUGUUAAAUUGAAGAAAUGAGCCAAAAUCAAUAGAGCAGCACACGCAGUUCUGCCAGGUGUUCCACAUUGCAGGAUACAGGGAGCCCUCGAACGGAAAGGAAGACCAGCCUGGUAGGCGAAACUCCAGCUGGUAAAGCUAUCCAACUCCUGUUCUCCCUCUCCCUCCCUGACAGCCACAAGGAUAUCCAGACAGGUGUUUAGGGCUGUCAUCUACACAUGAUUUAACUCCACUGCCUACAGCUUCUCAACUCUUUCCCCCAGAGCCCAGCAGUGAGGGAAGAGAGAUGAUGAAUUUCCUUUAAUAUAAGUUGUAGGGCCCACACUGAUGAAUUUAGACUUUAGAACAUCACAUUAGAAGCAGAAAGAAAAAAAUUAGGAAACAACUAAAGAUUUCUAAGUAGGAGUAUAAUGACCUCUUCCUAAGGAGUGUCAUAAUAUCUUCCUGACAUUUAAAAACAUGGUCUCUAUUAGGCAGCACCCUGCAAAGUAAUUCACUUACCCAUGUUGAGGAUUGUGGGCCACAAACAGCACUUUGACAGGCACUUCUGUCUGGCGAUUCUGUGUUCAGUUUGCUCAAGAACUCAGCGGUUUUGCUACCAGAAACACAAACAGGUGUUAGUGCCUUCACAAAAAUAUGAACAUAAUUCUUUAUUUUUCCUUUGGAUACUAACCUAGACUUAUUUGGGUGAUGAUUAAAAUUAUCUUCAGCAGAACAGAAAGUUACGUUGAGAACAAGGUGUAGCAGAAAUCAAAACAAAAUGCUAUUGCAAGAUUGCAUUCUUCAAGAACAAUAUUACAAAAUUAUAAAACUAGCUUUAUGAAAUGUGAGCUUAUGACCUCAUUUUUUCCACUUUAUAUUACUGACAUAAAUACAAGUCCUCUCCCAGAGCACAUUCCACAGCAUGCAGCCCUAAUUUCCUAUCUGAACAUUUAAUGCUUAACACUCAGACUUCAGGGUGGAGCUGUGGAACAUUCACGCCCUACAACAUCCUGCUUCACACCAGUUUUACAUUAAGCCCUUUACCCUCUCAUCUGCCUCAUGGCUUUGACCACUGUUAGGACACAGAGACCCUCUAAUCCAGUAGCUCUUUUCCAUUUAUGGAUCAUGGAGCCCUUUUGGACUCUGAAAGCAAAAGUGAACCCUCUGUUAACAGACACACACACACACACACACACACACACACACACACACAGUCCUUUGCAUUUUGUUUCAGAGAGAGGAUAAACCCUCCAUAGGGUUUAUCUAUAGAGGUUAAAAAGUGCUGCUGAUUCUAGACUGCAUUUCUAAUAUCUCUUUUUAGCUCUGAAAAAUUGACCUAGAAAUGUCCUCAGUUUAAAUAAGAAGUUCUCUGUUUUUACCUUAAAAAUCCAAACCACCACCCCAAUUUCCCCUCUCACUUAUGCCAAGCAUAGAACACUGGAAUUGUUUCCUAGUCCUUACCUCAGUGCCUGGCCCAUUCUGCCUACCCUUGAUUAAUUUCUACGCCUUUGUCCUUUUCUCAUGUAAUUUGUGUGAUUUUUAUCUCUUCAUUGCACAUUCACAGCCACAUACCUCAUUGAGCACUGACUUACUUUGCACCAGACUUGCGCAGCCUGUUCCCAUCUCCCUCCCUCCUCCUGCUAGCCCUCUGCUUCCCCCUAAUAUUUUAAGCCCAAUGCUAAGAUCUGAUUCAUCAAGUACUUAGGACAUGGGCAUCAAAGGAAACACAAAGUAUCUGGUAGAACAAAUGGCAUCCAGUGUAGGAGCAAAACAAGGAAUUAGAAACUAAACAGGUGCCAGCAUCACUUCAAAUAUUACUUAGGUAGAACAUGGCAUUUGAAAAAGGUCAGAAGCUUGAUCUGGGGAAGGAAGAAAUAAAAGUGAAGCAACAUACAGAACCCUGAGAAACAUUCAGCAGUUGAGACGAGCAGCCUUUCCAUUUGUCUUAGAUUACUUAUCUUGCCCAGAAUAGACAAGGAGACUAAUGAAGUCACAGAGUGUGGAAGCUGCCCCAUUGUCUGGGGCUUUAUGAAGUCAUCAGUCAAAAGUAUAAAAAGAAGAGUGAUGCCAGAAGUUUGGAUGAGAUCUCUGAAUAUCCUAAGCCAAGUGCAGGCCAUAGGA
rnacentral:lncRNA from 1 species